rnacentral:rRNA from 1 species
CCUACGGGUGGCAGCAGUCGAGAAUCAUUCACAAUGGGGGAAACCCUGAUGGUGCGACGCCGCGUGGGGGAAUGAAGGUCUUCGGAUUGUAAACCCCUGUCAUGUGGGAGCAAAUUAAAAAGAUAGUACCACAAGAGGAAGAGACGGCUAACUCUGUGCCAGCAGCCGCGGUAAUACAGAGGUCUCAAGCGUUGUUCGGAAUCACUGGGCGUAAGGCGUGCGUAGGCUGUUUCGUAAGUCGUGUGUGAAAGGCGCGGGCUCAACCCGCGGACGGCACAUGAUACUGCGAGACUAGAGUAAUGGAGGGGGAACCGGAAUUCUCGGUGUAGCAGUGAAAUGCGUAGAUAUCGAGAGGAACACUCGUGGCGAAGGCGGGUUCCUGGACAUUAACUGACGCUGAGGCACGAAGGCCAGGGGAGCGAAAGUGAUUAGAUACCCCGGUAGUC